GUGGGAUACUACCCUAGCUGUGUUGGCUUUCUAACCCGCACCACUUAUCGUGGUGGGAGACAGUGUCAGGCGGGCAGUUUGACUGGGGCGGUCGCCUCCUAAAAGGUAACGGAGGCGCUCAAAGGUUCCCUCAGAAUGGUUGGAAAUCAUUCAUAGAGUGUAAAGGCAUAAGGGAGCUUGACUGCGAGACCUACAAGUCGAGCAGGGUCGAAAGACGGACUUAGUGAUCCGGUG
rnacentral:rRNA from 1 species